AGCGCGGCCGGCCGUUAUUUUUCAAACGUGAGAGCGCGGCGGGACCGCUGCGCGCCUCUGCGCCGCGGUGGGAGGGCGGCCGGCCGCCAUCUUGCGGCGCGAGCCGGGAAGCGCCUGCAGCGAGCAGCGGGCGGGGGGGCGAGGGGCUGUGCGAGCAGCGUCCGCGUGUGGGGAGACUGAAAUAAUGGGAACCGCAUCUCCUAGCUGGCUUUUAAAUCAAGUUUAGGAAGAGGUUUUCAGGACUACUGCCCACGGUCAAAUGCAGAAAAGUAGUUUAACGAAAGUUAAAUACAAAAAAAUAAAAUAAAGUCAACCUGUGGUGGCUGAGGGACUGGAGGAGCUCGGGGCUGGGGUUUGUCCUCUUUGCUGAGGUGAAGGCUUUGUGUCCUCCAGCAGCUUCAAGUGUACCAAUCCACAUUAGCACUAGUAGAAAUAUUUCCAAAAAUAAUGGAAUUUCUGUUCUGCCUACCGUUUAAAGCUAACAAGACUUCUGAAUGCUGCACUAACUAAACCGAUUGGAGCUACCACCAUUUUGCAGUUACCAGCAAACCCAAAGGGACAUGAGAAAAUCCAAACACAGAAACUGAUUUCGGAUAUGACCAGAAUGACAGAUUUUAAAAGGGAAAGUCGUUCCCAGAGCUAUUAAAUCAGUCUCCUUCACAAAUCCUGUUUUGUUUUUAAAUUCUGUAUCCUUUCAGCAUUACUUCUUGUAGACAGGGCAAUAUACGGCACUGAUUCUGCAAAUGCUGCUUCUCCGUGUAAAGCAAUACUCCUCAUAGAAUUUGUUUUCCUUACAAAGUGAUUCACGACUACUCCUUGCCUAGAAAGCAGUGCAAAAUGCUGUUAAUAAACACUGCAUGCCCCCAGUGUGCAGAAGAAACCUAGGCAAGCCAGAUGCUGCUACCUCUGCUCCCAGAUAGGGUCUGAUCCUAGGGAAGAAACUGAAGUGACUCAGCGUGAUAAAACACACUUUUCCUCUCCUCUUACUCAAGCAGCUAAUCACAGAAAUAGAUCCAACGGCCACUGUUGUGCAAGCAGUCCCUGGCUGAUAGCAGCAAGGAAGGAACAGCAGCUUCUUUGUGUUUUCCUGAAAUUCUCCCCCACUGAAGGGGCGAGGGGUCACUGAUUGCAUAGUCUUUGCUCCAUUGCACACCCUCAGCUAUUGUUGAGCCCACUCAGAAAGCAACAGACUGAAUGUGCUGCCCAGCCUUGGAACUGAAUCUUUUUUUUUUUUUUAAAUUGCUUGAAAUAAGAUUCUCAAUAAACGUAAAGCACCUGUUCAUCCAGAACAAUGUCUGUAACUCGUUGGGUGAAGACUGUAUGAAGUCCUGCAGCUGAAGUACACAGUUUACACCAGAACCUUUUGGAAUAUGAUCAUCUUUGUUACCAUCUCCUAAUCCUUAUAAAGGGAUUUGCAUGGUACAGGAAGAUUUACAAUGUAAUGGAUUACUAUUCCAUAAUCCGGGCCAAGGGGAAGAAACUUCAAAUAUUUACAAUUUUUUUGGACUGCAUUUCAAACCUUUUUUUCAGCUCGAGAAAGACAACACUGGGGAGGCUGUCCGAGGGUGUUCACACACCAAAUACAGUGUCCUCAUAUUGCUUGUAGGCCAUGUAAGUUUGUUCUCUACCUGUGUCACCACCAUGCUUGUCAUUAUUCAGAAGCACAGAAAGUAUGUUAAUAGAAAGCAAGCGAAGCAUUAUGGAGCAAACUAUUGUUAGCCUGCUAUCACUUUACCUUAUGUAAAUUACACUGGGAAAAAUAAGAGAGAGAAAAUGUUUUUAAAAAAAUGCUAGUAAACCUAAUUGCUUCUUAGUCCGUUGCAUAGGUCUGAGUUUAUAUAGCAGUUACAUUUUUCAGUUUUAACCACUCAAGGUCCCGAGCAGAACAGACAAUUACACAGAAGCUCAAGACUGAAAAGAAUUGUUCAAAGGCACUGCCUAUCUGGAAAGGCCCAAACAUCUGAAAAGUUAUCCUACCCUCCUUUGAUACUAAACCCAUCCUGCUACAUGUACAUGCUAAGAAUGAUACUCCCAAAAUCACACGUACAAUGACAGUUACUAUUUUAAAUUCAGUCUUCCCAUCCCAGUUUGUUGGACUUUCUAUUAGUGAUGCAAACUCUUUGGAACAAGCAGUCUUUGAUCUAUAAGCAGAUACAGGCUUUUCCAAUAUGACUUUAUGAUGUCUAGCAACAAGGAGGUUCUUACAACACUGUCACUGCCCAACAUCACAGCAAUGUAAUGCACAGGUGCAGGAGCAGCAAUCGAUGCAACAGAAAGAGGUACAGAAAUCUCAUGUUUUGCAGAGGGGCAUCGCUGCAAGUAAAGCAUCAUUAAUGCCAGUGACUUCCUUGCACCUUUAUUACCUCUCAGCUGAAGGUCAAGCAGCAUUUCUCAACCUGUCGGAGAAUCAAAGUCAAUACAGGGCAUCUCUUCCUGUCCAUCACACAGUCCCUCUGGAACUUAGGUGACAGCUUUUAUCCUUACAUUUGAAUACUGUCUCAAGGCAUGGUUAGGACAUGCUCCCUAUAUCAACAAGAAAAGAGGAACCAUUGCAAGAUAACAUCCCAGCAAUGACACCUCAGUGGGUCCAGAGGAAAGCUGCAAGGAUACUCAGGGAGCUGGAGCACCUGCCCUUUGAAGAAAUGCUGAGGAAGCUGGAGCCUGGAGUAAAGAAGGCUCCAGAGGGGAUCUCACUGCAGCCUUCCAGUACUUAAAGAGAGCUGAUAAGCAGGAGGGAGACUGACUUUUUACAGAGUCUGAUAAUGAUAGGGCAAGGGAAAUGGUUUAAAACUAAAACAGGAGAAAAUUAUCUUAGAUGUUAGGUGGAAAUUCUU